rnacentral:rRNA from 1 species
GAUGAACGCUAGCGGCUAGGCCUAAUACAUGCGAAGGCGAGGGGUUCGCAAGGACACCGUCGUACGGGUGCGUAACGCGUAUGCAACCUACCUAUCACAGGGGGAUAGCCUUUGGAAACAGGGAUUAAUACCGCAUAAAGCAGGGGCUUGGCAUCAAGAUACUGCUAAAGAUUUAUCGGUGAUAGAUGGGCAUGCGUCUGAUUAGUUAGUUGGCAGGGUAACGGCCUACCAAGACGAUGAUCAGUAGGGGGCGUCAGAGCGUGGUCCCCCACACUGGCACUGAGAUACGGGCCAGACUCCUACGGGAGGCAGCAGUAGGGAAUAUUGGGCAAUGGGUGCAAGCCUGACCCAGCCAUGCCGCGUGGAGGAAGAAGGUCCUCUGGAUUGUAAACUCCUUUUGUCGGGGAAGAAGAGUCAUCUUGCGAGGUGAUGUGACGGUACCCGAUGAAUAAGCCACGGCUAACUACGUGCCAGCAGCCGCGGUAA